rnacentral:tRNA from 1 species
GGUGGCUUAGCUCAGCUGGGAGAGCAUCUGCCCUACAAGCAGAGGGUCAUAGGUUCGAGCCCUAUAGCCACCACCA